AGAACGCCAUGAACCGGAUGGCCGCGUUCGUCGAGGACGCGGCCAUGGACGAU
rnacentral:sRNA from 1 species